rnacentral:rRNA from 1 species
CGGGUGAGUAACACGUAUCCAACCUGCCGUCUGCUCUUGGCCAGCCUUCUGAAGGAAGAUUAAUCCAGGAUGGCAUCAUGAGUUCACAUGUCCGCAUGAUUAAAGGUAUUUUCCGGUAGACGAUGGGGAUGCGUUCCAUUAGAUAGUAGGCGGGGUAACGGCCCACCUAGUCAACGAUGGAUAGGGGUUCUGAGAGGAAGGUCCCCCACAUUGGAACUGAGACACGGUCCAA